UGAUGAUGAUGAUGAUGAUGAUGAUGAUGAUGAUGAUGAUGAUGAUGAUGAUGAUGAUCGUCAUCGCCAUCCUCAUCCUCCUCCUCAUCCCAAUCU
rnacentral:miRNA from 1 species